UGCAGUCGAGCGGAUGAAGGGAGCUUGCUCCUGGAUUCAGCGGCGGACGGGUGAGUAAUGCCUAGGAAUCUGCCUGGUAGUGGGGGAUAACGUCCGGAAACGGGCGCUAAUACCGCAUACGUCCUGAGGGAGAAAGUGGGGGAUCUUCGGACCUCACGCUAUCAGAUGAGCCUAGGUCGGAUUAGCUAGUUGGUGGGGUAAAGGCCUACCAAGGCGACGAUCCGUAACUGGUCUGAGAGGAUGAUCAGUCACACUGGAACUGAGACACGGUCCAGACUCCUACGGGAGGCAGCAGUGGGGAAUAUUGGACAAUGGGCGAAAGCCUGAUCCAGCCAUGCCGCGUGUGUGAAGAAGGUCUUCGGAUUGUAAAGCACUUUAAGUUGGGAGGAAGGGCAGUAAGUUAAUACCUUGCUGUUUUGACGUUACCAACAGAAUAAGCACCGGCUAACUUCGUGCCAGCAGCCGCGGUAAUACGAAGGGUGCAAGCGUUAAUCGGAUUAACUGGGCGUAAAGCGCGCGUAGGUGGUUCAGCAAGUUGGAUGUGAAAUCCCCGGGCUCAACCUGGGAACUGCAUCCAAAACUACUGAGCUAGAGUACGGUAGAGGGUGGUGGAAUUUCCUGUGUAGCG
rnacentral:rRNA from 2 species